AGAGUUUGAUCCUGGCUCAGGAUGAACGCUGGCGGCGUGCCUAAUACAUGCAAGUCGAGCGAACGGACGAGAAGCUUGCUUCUCUGAUGUUAGCGGCGGACGGGUGAGUAACACGUGGAUAACCUACCUAUAAGACUGGGAUAACUUCGGGAAACCGGAGCUAAUACCGGAUAAUAUUUUGAACCGCAUGGUUCAAAAGUGAAAGACGGUCUUGCUGUCACUUAUAGAUGGAUCCGCGCUGCAUUAGCUAGUUGGUAAGGUAACGGCUUACCAAGGCAACGAUGCAUAGCCGACCUGAGAGGGUGAUCGGCCACACUGGAACUGAGACACGGUCCAGACUCCUACGGGAGGCAGCAGUAGGGAAUCUUCCGCAAUGGGCGAAAGCCUGACGGAGCAACGCCGCGUGAGUGAUGAAGGUCUUCGGAUCGUAAAACUCUGUUAUUAGGGAAGAACAUAUGUGUAAGUAACUGUGCACAUCUUGACGGUACCUAAUCAGAAAGCCACGGCUAACUACGUGCCAGCAGCCGCGGUAAUACGUAGGUGGCAAGCGUUAUCCGGAAUUAUUGGGCGUAAAGCGCGCGUAGGCGGUUUUUUAAGUCUGAUGUGAAAGCCCACGGCUCAACCGUGGAGGGUCAUUGGAAACUGGAAAACUUGAGUGCAGAAGAGGAAAGUGGAAUUCCAUGUGUAGCGGUGAAAUGCGCAGAGAUAUGGAGGAACACCAGUGGCGAAGGCGACUUUCUGGUCUGUAACUGACGCUGAUGUGCGAAAGCGUGGGGAUCAAACAGGAUUAGAUACCCUGGUAGUCCACGCCGUAAACGAUGAGUGCUAAGUGUUAGGGGGUUUCCGCCCCUUAGUGCUGCAGCUAACGCAUUAAGCACUCCGCCUGGGGAGUACGACCGCAAGGUUGAAACUCAAAGGAAUUGACGGGGACCCGCACAAGCGGU
rnacentral:rRNA from 3 species